rnacentral:tRNA from 1 species
GGGUCCGGUUUGGUGCCGGAGCGUGUUCACAUCGCGGGGGUCGCUGGUUCGAGUCCAGCAUUGCCCACCA